GAAUGGAAUGCGGACGUCACGUGGUUCAUGGAGCUGCUAAUAGUUCCAAACACCAGCAGCUCCAGCAUUGGACGUAGUUCAUUCUCGGUGCUUCGUAAGGAUUUUUUACGGUAAACCACACGAAAAUGGUUUAAAAGAACUGCUGAACCAUGUUGCAUACAAAGCACCACAAAGAGUAUCCAUGGCAUUUGGGAGCUCCAUGACAGAUUUACUGGACCUCGUUCUGAAAGGUUUUUCAACUUUCUGGACCAGACUGAAGGCUUCAUGUGAUGGCUGACACAGCACCCCUGGUUUGAAUUCCUUCAGUAUCAAUAGGGAUCUUUUGGGAAGCCAUACAUACACAUUCCUUUCUCUGACCGAUUGGUGCAUCCAAAUGCAGCACACCCAACCAUGCAGACGUGGUGACUGACUUCAAAAGGAGCUGCUGCCAAUGAUGCCAAGGAGGAUGAACCCUCAUUCGGACUUGGGCACAUUUCUACCUUGUCCAGAUUUGAUCAGAUACAGUUUAUUGGUGCAGAUGUAAUUAAUAAACUGUAUAAAUGGUAGUGCAAGUACUUAUUUAUUAAAGCUAGUUUUGCAUUUUA